rnacentral:rRNA from 1 species
GAUGAACGCUGGCGGCGUGCCUAAUACAUGCAAGUCGAGCGAACAGACGAGGAGCUUGCUCCUCUGACGUUAGCGGCGGACGGGUGAGUAACACGUGGAUAACCUACCUAUAAGACUGGGAUAACUUCGGGAAACCGGAGCUAAUACCGGAUAAUAUAUUGAACCGCAUGGUUCAAUAGUUAAAGACGGUUUUGCUGUCACUUAUAGAUGGAUCCUCGCCGCAUUAGCUAGUUGGUAAGGUAACGGCUUACCAAGGCGACGAUGCGUAGCCGACCUGAGAGGGUGAUCAGCCACACUGGAACUGAGACACGGUCCAGACUCCUACGGGAGGCAGCAGUAGGGAAUCUUCCGCAAUGGGCGAAAGCCUGACGGAGCAACGCCGCGUGAGUGAUGAAGGUCUUCGGAUCGUAAAACUCUGUUAUUAGGGAAGAACAAAUGUGUAAGUAACUAUGCACGUCUUGACGGUACCUAAUCAGAAAGCCACGGCUAACUACGUG